rnacentral:lncRNA from 13 species
GCUGGCAAUAGCUGACUAAUUAACACGAUAGACAACAAUACAGUUUCUUCCGGAGUUUUACUGACUUUGUGCAUACUAAAUCCAACCCACAUCUCCUCUGCAGUAGCACAGAGCCAGCAAGCUCCAUUCCCUUCCCAGCUAUGGCUCCCCCUAGCCGUGCUUCCAUAUUUCCUUAAAUAUGCACAGCAUAAUGGCCUGUCCCGCCCUUCUCUAUAACAUUAUAGAGAAGCACCUGAAAAUCUGUAGAAAAUUUGUAGAUUCACCAAGCCUUGGAGCCUCUUAGAGAGGCUCAAAAUCAUUGAUAGGGGAUAUUUUGGACACACAGAGACCCCUUUUUAUUGAAACUGACCAUUUGAAUGCAGAGGAAAAUAUGCUGGUGGGAAUAUGAUCGAAUCAAGCAAAAAGAGAGCACCGUCUCCAAGUGUCCAUCUCCAAAUGUAUCCAGUGGGACACUGAGAAGGUAAUCAAGCUCCUGAAGUUUAAAAUGUCAUUUUUAAGAAGGUGUUUCUUCAUAUAUUACUGAACAAAUCAUCAAUUUAAGGGGUGGUGGAUGAUAAAUGCCAAUUUUGGGGUCAGCACUUUAAAUGUCCAGUGUUUUAAAAAGAAACACCAAAACCUUGUAGUCUUAUUUCACAGUAUUUCCAAAGUAGAAGUGGCGGUAAAACAAAUGCCAGUAUUUUCCUGCGAGUCCAGACUUGAGCUGAUACUUGUCCUAAAACAAUAAGACCCCCAAACCAGUCGUCAACUGCCCAAAGCAACAGCAGAUCAAUCCAAACCUUCAGGGUCGAAAUAGGGCGUAAAACGUGGUCUUCAUUUUUUAAACCGUAAAUAACAAACUCCUAAACACCUGCCCAGAACGAAUCUCAACACUACAGCACAGAUAUGCUAUUUAAAUUAAAUUAUGUAUUUGUAAACAAUGAUAAAUUAUAUCCAAUCGAAUAAAAAUGAGACACUAGGUACAUUUACCUAGUGUUGUCAGAGUAUGGAGACAGGCUUCAGCGCAGGACUGGAGAUGUCAGCUGCUGGCACGCACUGAAAUGCAUCCACAGGUACACCUCAAAUUGACUCAAAUUAUGUCAAUCAGCCUAUCAGAAGCUUCUACAGCCAUGCCAUCAUUUUCUGGAAUUUUCCAAGCUGUUUAAAGGCACAGUCAAUUUAGUGUAUGUAAACUUCUGACCCACUGGAAUUGUGAUACAGUGAAUUAUAAGUGAGAUAAUCUGUCUGUUAACAAUUGUUGGAAAAAUGACUUGUGUCAUGCACAAAGUAGAUGUCCUAACCGACUGCCAAAACUAUAGUUUGUUAACAAGACAUUUGUGGAGGGGUUGAAAAACGAGUUUUAAUGACUCCAACCUAAGUGUAUGUAAACUUCCGACUUCAACUGUACCUUUUGAGCUGU